UACGUAGGGGGGCGAGCGUUUGUCCGGAAUCAUUGGGCGUAAAGCGCGCGUAGGCGGCUUUGUAAGUUAGAGGUGAAAGCCCGGGGCUCAACCCCGGGAACUGCCUUUAAGACUGCAUCGCUUGAAUCCGGGAGAGGUGAGUGGAAUUCCGAGUGUAGAGGUGAAAUUCGUAGAUAUUCGGAAGAACACCAGUGGCGAAGGCGGCUCACUGGACCGGCAUUGACGCUGAUGUGCGAAAGCGUGGGGAGCAAACAGG
rnacentral:rRNA from 1 species